rnacentral:rRNA from 1 species
GGUGUAGGUGGCUCGAUUAGUCAGAAGUGAAAGCCCUGGGCUCAACCCAGGAAGUGCUUUUGAUACUGUCGAGCUUGAGUGUGGGAGAGGUAAGUGGAAUUCCUGGUGUAGUGGUGAAAUACGUAGAUAUCAGGAGGAACAUCGGUGGAGAAGUCGGCUUACUGGCCCAACACUGACACUCAGACCCGAAAGCGUGGGGAGCAAACAAGAUUAGAUACCCUGGUAGUCC